rnacentral:rRNA from 1 species
CUCCUACGGGAGGCAGCAGUGGGGAAUUUUGGACAAUGGGCGCAAGCCUGAUCCAGCCAUGCCGCGUGAGUGAAGAAGGCCUUCGGGUUGUAAAGCUCUUUCGGCAGGGACGAAAAGAUGUGUGUUAACACCAUGCAUCCAUGACGGUACCCGCAGAAGAAGCACCGGCUAACUACGUGCCAGCAGCCGCGGUAAUACGUAGGGUGCAGGCGUUAAUCGGAAUUACUGGGCGUAAAGCGUGCGCAGGCGGUUUGCUAAGACAGGUGUGAAAUCCCCGGGCUUAACCUGGGAACUGCGCUUGUUACUGGCAGGCUUGAGUGUGGCAGAGGGGGGUGGAAUUCCACGUGUAGCAGUGAAAUGCGUAGAGAUGUGGAGGAACACCGAUGGCGAAGGCAGCCCCCUGGGCUAACACUGACGCUCAUGCACGAAAGCGUGGGGAGCAAGCAGGAUUAGAUACCCUGGUAGUCCACGCCCUAAACUAUGUCAACUGGUUGUCGGGGAAGCAAUUCCUUGGUAACGAAGCUAACGCGUGAAGUUGACCGCCUGGGGAGUACGGCCGCAAGGUUAAAACUCAAAGGAAUUGACGGGGACCCGCACAAGCGGUGGAGCAUGUGGUUUAAUUCGACGCAACGCGAAGAACCUUACCUGGACUAGAAUGUGAGGGAAGGGCUUCUAAUA